AUUGAACGCUGGCGGCAGGCCUAACGCAUGCAAGUCGAACGGUAACAGGAAGAGGUUUGCUUCCUUGCUGACGAGGGGCGGGCGGGUGAGUAAUGUCUGUGAAACUGCUUGAUGGAGGGGGAUAACUACUGGAAACGGUAGUUAUUCCCGCAUAUCGUUGCAACAGCAAAGAGGGGGACCUACGGGCCUCUUUCCAUCGGAUGUGCCCAGGUGGGAUUAGCUAGUAGGUGGGGUAACGGCUCACCUAGGCGACGAUCCGUAGCUGGUCUGAGAGGGUGACCGGCCACACUGGAACUGAGACACGGUCCAGACUCCUACGGGAGGCAGCAGUGGGGAAUCUUGCGCAAUGGGCGAAAGCCUGAUGCAGCAAUGCCGCGUGUAUGAAGAAGGUCUUCGGGUUGUAAAAUUCUUUUAGCGGGGAGGAAGGAAUGUGUGUUAAUACAUGCACUCAUUGACGUUACCCGAAGAAGAAGCACCGGCUAACUCCGUG
rnacentral:rRNA from 1 species